UACGAAGGGGGGCUAGCGUUGCUCGGAAUCACUGGGCGUAAAGGGUGCGUGGGCGGGUCUUUUAAGUCAGGGGGUGAAAUCCUGGAGCUCAACUCCAGAACUGCCUUUGAUACUGAAGAUCUUGAGUUCGGGAGAGGUGAGUGGAACUGCGAGUGUAGAGGUGAAAUUCGUAGAUAUUCGCAAGAACACCAGUGGCGAAGGCGGCUCACUGGCCCGAUACUGACGCUGAGGCACGAAAGCGUGGGGAGCAAACAGG
rnacentral:rRNA from 1 species